AUAUCGGUCAGUUUGCCGUCAGAACAAGGAGAAAAAAGGUUCCGGUCUUCAUCCCUUCCAUUUCCAAAGGACGACGCUCUCACCAUUCACGAACGGCGACUGCGGAUCGAUCGUGCGUCGUCUCCUGCGCCGGCCUCUCUUCCAGUCAGGUUCCCAAGCAGCCCACAGAUUCUAUUGAUUGCGGGUGUCUUUCAGCAUCUGAGGGUUUCUACCAGUCCAGGUUACGCACAAGCUUCAAAUUAUCGCAAAAUUCCUCUUACAUAUCUGCAUCUCAUACCGAACCAGGUCUCAUACCGGACCAGUUUGCUUGGACUUAUUACGAAACUUCUUUUACUCAGCUGGAGCUUUCAUCAAAACAUAAAAAUGGAAUACACUUUAUUACCUGAUUUAGCACCGCAUAAGAUACACGCAAAGAUUCAAGUACAUGUAUCUAGAAAGUGGCUUUUCCGAGGUGCUACUGAUAGUGGACCACUACAACAUGUUGAUAUGGUUUUGUCUGAUCGAGAGGGUAAUGCUAUUUAUGCUGAAAUCCCUGGAAAUUUAGCUGAACAAAAAGCAACAAAUAUUGAAGAAGGAGGAGUUUAUGAUAUCAGCAGAUUCAGAGUGUGCGCAGCAAAAACUGUUUUCAAAAUAGUGGAUGGGGACAAAAUGAUCCAAUUCACAUUUCAUACCAUAGUUAAACGUGCCACAAGCCCUCCAACAACAUUUCCAUUAUAUGUUUAUCGGCUAACAUCAUUUGAUCUAAUUGAGCCUCAUGUUCAAACUACAAAUAACUUUGUUGAUGUUCUUGGUGUCAUAACUGAAAUUCAUGAACUGACACCUGUGCAUGUCCGAAGUCAACUAACACCAACAGUGACAAGGACCAUUAUCAUAGAAGAUCUCAGCAACAAAACAAUGAAGAUCACUUUAUGGGCAGAUCAGGCGAUAAUGUUCAAUCUUCAUGACGUGUACGAUACAAAUACAAAUAAACUGAUUCUUGUGCUAUUCGUCGGGUGCUUAUCAAAAAUUUUCAAAGGUGUCUACCUAAGUGGUGGUCCUGCCUGUAGAUGGUACUUCAAUCCAACAAUUCCAGAGGCAGAACCUUAUCUUACCAGUGCAAACAAGAGUAAUAUCAAUAGCCCAGAAAAAGAUGAUGGCGAUAAGGAAACCGCACAGCUUGAUACAAUACCCAAUAACAAAGGAAAAGGACCAGCAGAUACAAUUGAAUCGCCACCUAAAAGGUUCAAAUAAGGGACGAUACGCAUCGGAAAAGAAAUGGACAUCAAAUCCUCCGAGAACUAAAGUUUCACUCAGAUCUUCGUCGACCUUUUGAGUUGCACAAUGUCUAUUUUGCAACAUAUGUAUAAUUAUAUAUGAUGACCUACUCAGCUCUUUGAAAACAAUUUAUGUAAAUAUAACAGCCUAAUUC